CUUGAAAAUGAGAGUGUUUGGUCGACGGGUGGGGUACUCCUGAGUGGCAUCUAGUGGUCAGUUUAGUAAUUUGUUGAAUAAUACUGAGUAUAACUAAAUGGAGUAAACAGGCAUUUUACUAGCUAAAAAAUUUCAAUAUCUCAUUUCCACAACAGUCCCCCCUUAAAAUGGCUAUUUACCAUAACAACUGCUACUAUCCCUAAUAUGUCCCUAGUUGCCUGCAGCUCAUCUGUCUUAACAAGCAUCGAACUCUUCACUCCGUGGAUAACCCACAGCGGCUAGUCCAC